rnacentral:rRNA from 1 species
UCAAAAACAUGGCCUAUUGAGAAUAAUUUUAGGUUUGGCCUGCCCCCUGAGUAGUUAAAUGGCCGCGGUAUUUUGACCGUGCUAAGGUAGCAUAAUCAUUAGUUUCUUAAUUAGAAGCUAGAAUGAAUGGUUGGAUGAAAAAAAUUCUGUCUCUAUUUAAAAUUUAUGGAAUUUUAUUUUUUAGUAAAAAAGCUAAAAUAUUUUUAAAAGACGAGAAGACCCUAUAGAGUUUAAUAUUUUUAUUUUAUAAAAUUUUUUAGAAUAUAAAUUUUUAUAAAAUAUGAGUAUUUAAUUGGGGUGAUUGAAAAAUUAGAGUAACUUUUUCUUUUUUAAACACUAAUUGGUGACUAAUUGAUCCAUUAUUUAUGAUUAUAAGAUUAAAUUACCUUAGGGAUAACAGCGUAAUAUUUUCAAAGAGUUCUAAUCGAAGAAAAAGAUUGCGACCUCGAUGUUGGAUUAAAAUUAACUUUAGGUGUAGAAGCUUAAAAGUUGGGUCUGUUCGACCUUUAAAAUUUUACAUGAUCUGA